GUUUGUGGACUCAGUGGCUAGAGUUUAGUCUUGUGACCGAAAGGUCCCGGGAUCGAAUCUCGCCAGAGGCA
rnacentral:tRNA from 1 species